rnacentral:rRNA from 1 species
CACGUAGGGAGCAAGCGUUGUCCGGAAUCAUUGGGCGUAAAGAGCGUGUAGGCGGACCAGUAAGUCACUUGUGAAAUCUCUGAGCUUAACUCAGAACUGCCAAGUGAUACUGCUGUGCUCGAGUGUGGAAGGGGCAAUCGGAAUUCUUGGUGUAGCGGUGAAAUGCGUAGAUAUCAAGAGGAACACCUGAGGUGAAGACGGGUUGCUGGGCCAACACUGACGCUGAGGCGCGAAAGCCAGGGGAGCAAACGGG